GGAGAGGUGGCCGAGCGGCUGAAGGCGCCGCUCUCGAAAAGCGGUAUCCCGUGACCCGGGAUCGUGGGUUCAAAUCCCACCCUCUCCGCCA
rnacentral:tRNA from 1 species